UAAUUUCAAAUUAAAUCUUUUUGAUUAUUACAUCAAUUCUAAUGGUCCAAUUUAGAUAGCCGAAUUAUGAUUUGACGUUGAUGUGGUAGUGAUGUAGCAUUUUAGCCAUUCUCAUACCAUCAAUUAUAAGUUCAAUUUAGAUUCAAAUUUAAAAGUUUAAUAUAAAUUUCAAAAUUAAAAUUUUACAUUACAAUACCAAUUUCAAAAAUUAAAUUUAAAUUCAAUAUUUUUUUGAGCUGGAUACUUAACAAAUUGGGUAUCAUCUAAUUUGGUAAGUUAUUAAAGUAAUAAGAUAUUUAAUACUUAAAGGAUGCUGAUAAAUUUGGUAUAUGCUAAUUUUUUUUCCAAUAUUGUCAUGUUAACUUAUUCAAAUCGGUAACCUGUUCAACAGGUUACUUCAUGUAAAUCCCAAUUAUACCUUUUAAUAUUUAUGGUGUAUUGAAGCAUUCCUCUAAUAAUAAUAAUCUAUAAUCUAUAAUUUAUAAUCUUCUAUAACACUAAU
rnacentral:lncRNA from 1 species